CGGGACGUAGCGCAGCCUGGUUAGCGCGCCUGCUUUGGGAGCAGGAGGCCGGCGGUUCGAAUCCGCCCGUCCCGA
rnacentral:tRNA from 2 species